CGCUGGCGCCCCCUUCCCUAAGCACAUGGUGACGCGGAGAAUUUUUUCUGCUGAUGAACGGCUUUUCCAAGGAGAUAAGAAGAAGAUGACCUGGGACAUAGAUUGACUGCCGCCACGAUCCCAACCGCGUUUCAGCAGCUACCCCUCUCCACCAUUCUUUAAUGUACAUAUGGAAAAGCAGCCAAAUAAACUCCCCAGCUUUUUAUGGUGUUAUCAUUUUAA